rnacentral:lncRNA from 1 species
GGCCUCAAAAAUAGAAAUUUAUUUUAUUGAAAUAAAAUAAUUAGUUCAAUAACAACUCAACAAUAAACAAAAUAAAAUAAACAACGACCCCAACCCAGUGUUACACUAUCAGAGUGACACCAAGUACUAAACAAAAUGCAAAAAAGGAUAAACAAAUAACAUAUGAGCCAUCUUCCACACAAUAACAUCUAAGGCUCCUCAGUCCCU